rnacentral:rRNA from 1 species
GACGAACGCUGGCGGCGUGCUUAACACAUGCAAGUCGAACGCUGAAGCUCAGCUUUUGUUGGGUGGAUGAGUGGCGAACGGGUGAGUAACACGUGAGUAACCUGCCCUCUUCUUUGGGAUAACGCCCGGAAACGGGUGCUAAUACUGGAUAUUCACUGAUCUUCGCAUGGGGGUUGGUGGAAAGGUUUGUUCUGGUGGGGGAUGGGCUCGCGGCCUAUCAGCUUGUUGGUGGGGUGAUGGCCUACCAAGGCUUUGACGGGUAGCCGGCCUGAGAGGGUGACCGGUCACAUUGGGACUGAGAUACGGCCCAGACUCCGACGGGAGGCAGCAGUGGGGAAUAUUGCACAAUGGGCGAAAGCCUGAUGCAGCGACGCCGCGUGAGGGAUGGAGGCCUUCGGGUUGUAAACCUCUUUCGCUCAUGGUCAAGCCGCGACGUGGGUUGUGGUGAGGGUAGUGGGUAAAGAAGCGCCGGCUAACUACGUG